UACAGAGGGGGCAAGCGUUGUUCGGAAUUACUGGGCGUAAAGGGCGCGUAGGCGGCCUUCUAAGUCGAACGUGAAAUCCCUGGGCUCAACCCAGGAACUGCGUCCGAUACUGGUGGGCUCGAAUCCGGGAGAGGGAUGUGGAAUUCCAGGUGUAGCGGUGAAAUGCGUAGAUAUCUGGAGGAACACCGGUGGCGAAGGCGGCUGCACUGGCCCGAUACUGACGCUGAGG
rnacentral:rRNA from 1 species